rnacentral:rRNA from 1 species
CACGUAGGCGGAUAUUUAAGUCAGGGGUGAAAUCCCAGAGCUCAACUCUGGAACUGCCUUUGAUACUGGGUAUCUUGAGUAUGGAAGAGGUAAGUGGAAUUCCGAGUGUAGAGGUGAAAUUCGUAGAUAUUCGGAGGAACACCAGUGGCGAAGGCGGCUUACUGGUCCAUUGCUGACGCUGAGGUGCGAAAGCGUGGGGAGCAAACA